rnacentral:lncRNA from 1 species
GGGGAUGUCAUAGGAGGAGGGAGGCAGCAGAAUCAGCGGUUGGAGGUGAGAAAAGGGUGUUGAAGAUGAGUUAGCGACAGACAAACCUGGGCUUGAAUUCCAGCUCUGACGCUUAAUGGCUUUGGGCACGCCAUGGUAUGUGAGCCUCAGUUUCCUCCCCUGAGAAAGGGGUAAUAAUCCCUACUAAUAGAACUGCCAUACAGAUUAAACGAGGUGAUUUUUCUAGGUGAGGGCAAGGGCUCUGUAAAGAUUUUUUUUUCUGUAGUUUAGAGGUCAGCAGAAUGCGGUAAGCAUUAGCGAUUCUCUUCCCAGUACCCACAGGCAAAGUUGGAAGUGGCAGGGUCUA